rnacentral:lncRNA from 10 species
UACAAGCCUGUAGGCCCAGCUACUUGGAAGACUGAGGCAGGAGAAUCACUUUAAGCGGGAGGCAGAGGUUGCAGUGAGCCAAUCUCAAAAAAGAAAGAAAAAAAAAAAGAAAAACAUAUGAUGCUGGGGCAUCUCGGCCUCAAUACCUGCAUGAGCACAGUCACGUCCAGGCCAGGGCUGCUGGUCGAGGUCCGGCCCCAUCUCUUCCAGCAGAAAGGGAGUAAGCUUGCAGGGAGGCUGGGGGACAAGAUCCCAGGAUCUCAGCCUCUGCUCAUGGAUCAGCUCUGAGACCCCGAGUGAGCUGGGGGUGCUCUGUGCGCAUUGGUUUCCCCAGCUGUCAAGUAAAGGGAUUGGAUGAGGAAGUCUUGUCAAGGUGGAAUGAUCUCAGAUUUGGGGCAGCAGUGAAUGAUCCCGCUCCCUGGGCCCAUGCCAGUGGCCUGGCCUCGGCUCAACACAGCCCCAACACUCUGGAAUGGGGAUGAGGGGGCAGUCAGCUCUUGCUCCUAGUAAGAGAGAUGCAACAGGGCUCUGUGGCUGAGCUGGGUGCCUUGCCUCACACCUGUAAUCCCAACCUUUGAGAGGCCAAGGCAGGAGGAUUGCUCGAGGCCGGGAAUUUUGAGAAUAGCCUGGACAACAUAGCCAGACCCCAUGUCUACAAAAUAAUAAUAAAACACACAGCUAUAGUCCAAGCUACUUGGCAGGCUGAGGCAGGAAGGUCCCUUGAGUCCGGGAAUUGGAGGCUGCAUUGAGCUAUAAUCGCACCACUGCACUCCAGCUUGGGUGACAAAGUGAGACCCUGUCUCUAAAAGAAAAAAAAAUUGGCCUGUGAGCAUGGGUUUGAUUUUCAAACAGGACCUGGAGGGUAGGGACAGACAGUGCUGUCACCCUUAGGUGCUGAACACUCAGAAACGGGCCAGCGGCAGCCCUUCCCUCACCUGCAGACACCAGAUUGGGCAGAACAGCACAUGGCACUUGCAGCUCUUGCAGUGAGGGCAGAACCCAGUGUCAACCCUUCUGCCUGUGGGAGGGGCUGCUGAGGCCUGCGGAGAGGCCAGGGUGGAGGCUCGUCCCCUUGUCCAGCCCUUGGCGUGGUCUCCACCAGGUCCCCAGCCCACCAGUGCAGGGCGCCCCUGAGCCUGCUGCUGCCAUGGGCCCUGUCUCUACCCAGGACGUCCCCACACCCUCGCAGUGUCAGGGAAAUGAUCAUGGUGGCGGUGACACUCCGCAGGCAGGGCUGCUGAGAGAAGCUGAGAAGGGUCACACUGCAGGCAGGGGCCCGUGUGACAAGCCCCUCUCACCCCGAGAGAGCUGACCAGGCAGCUCACGAGCAGAGCCACAUCCCGGGAGUCCGAGAAAGGUCCUGGCUGGGCUCAGCCACCUCAUUGGCCACGGGCAGCCUUUGUCAUGUGAGCCUUGCUCUCCUGGGGAGGCUCAGGCUGACAGCUGAUGUGGGCAUUGCCGAAGGUAACCCGUGGCCCAGUGUAUAUGGCCGGGUCUCCUCAAGCUGCAUUCAUUCAAGUAGGACCCAGGGUGCGUGCCCAUCUCCAGCCCAGGGCAGCUCCCCUGUAAGCUGGGUGAGCUACUGAAGCCAAGGCGGGAGGCAGCUGACAACACCCACAGCCCAUGCGGAGGUGGUGGAAAGGCUGAACUCAGCAGCAACACCAAAUCCUGGACCAGGCAAAAACCACCCAAGACUGAGGGGCUCGUGCCAGAGCGGUGGCCACAGCCCCACCCCACCGGCUCAGGGGUUCUUCCCAGCGGCGCUGAUCAUGAAGUCAACAUGCACGCAAGUCGUCUCAGGAAACUUCUUAAUGAAAGUGUCGGCCACGGUGGUGUGUAGGUGGCUGAGCUCAGAUUGCAGCUGCUAAGACACCAGCCACUUACCAAGAGAAAGCCAGGCUGCUUCAAACCCAGGGCCCACGGCAAAAAAGCAUCACUUCCGGCCGGGGAGUCUGGAAGCCACGCCUUGUGGGAGGUCACACUGGCAUCUAGGCCUUCGCCUGCAUUGCAGAAGGAGAGCCGGGUCCCCCUCCUGGAGAACGCUGCGUUCCCCAGCCCCACACCGGCUUUGCCACCACACAGGCUGUUGAGGCAGGAGGCGGAGACUUCAGAACCCACUCCUGAGAACAGCGGAGCCAGGCGCUUAGAGGAAGACCAAAUGCUGCCAGGACACGGAUUGUCCAGGAUUACAUUCCAGCAUCUUAUUAGAGGACCGAAGCAGAGGGUGCUGUUUCAACGCCACCACCAGGAGAGAGGCAGAGGGGCUGUGCCGUGCUAGAGUCCUCAGGGAGGGAGUGACCUCGACCCUGGCUGUGCUGCAAGCUGACUCCAGCCUUGGGGUCAGCAGCACCCGGCAAACAGCAGCAGGAGGAGCCGCUAGAGCAGCUGCUCAUGGGCAGAGCUGCCCUCGGGCAACUCCUGCCACCACCCCCUCCCCAGGGAGCCCAAGGCAGGGGAGGCUCAGCAUGGAAUGAAACAGGGGAGUGAGGGACACAAGGAGGUGGGAAGUGGGAGGGUCCCAGCCCCACCAAGUACGCAGAGAACCCCUCGUUGUCCUGGACACCACAGGGGCACCUGCAGGCUGGGAGACCAGGUCCUCUGUGCAUGGGCCCGGGAGGCAGACCUGCCCUAAGGGUGAUGCACAGGCUACAGGUGCUGCACGCUCCAGCGCCCACUCUAGACAUCAGCCUCCAGGUUGACUAAGGGUCAGGUCAUGUUUGAAACCAUGCUUGGCUGGACCAGGACCCAUGGCAAGAGCACCUGGGCACCAGUGUUUAGCCCUGGUCUGCAGGAAGGAGGACAGCAGACUUUAGGACCCCACAGCACGGCAGUGCUGACCAUUUCACCCACUUGGCCUCCUUGAGAAAUAUGGAUGGGGACCCCUCUGGGGAUGGGCAAGGCCUUCCAGGAUAGGCUCAGUUUUGGUCCCCUGCUUUUUGAGGUUGGGUUAAAAUUCCGACCAUGGCAGAGGAAGCACAGCUCAGGUUCCCACACCUCACUUUUCACAGCCUCUGAGGGCAGCAGUGCACGUGGAGGAGACGUCUCCCAUGAGGCCAAGGCCUCCAGUGCUCACCGAUGCCCUCUGCGAAGUUGGGGUAGAACUCGUCAGUGAAGAGGGGCUCGGGCAGCUCACGGAAAUACAGCUUCAGCGUGCCUGCGAUGGCGUUCACGUCCAUCUCGCUCAUCAUCACCGACACGUCCUUGUUAUCUGGAAAGAGCACGGAAAUGCAGCGGCCUCCUUGAAGAUCCUGAUAAAUGAAGAAAAGACACAGAGAAGGAUGUGACAUGCCUGGGCCGUGGAGCACUCUGAGAUCUCAUCGCGGACACCACUGCCCACACCUCCAUCCCGUCCUGCGCAGGCCGACACUCACUGACGUUGAAGGCUGCCUUCAGUGCCUGGAUGUCUGCGGCCACCCCAGACAUGCGGUAGAUGCCCACCUCCUCCAUGCCUCGGCGCUCGAUCUCCUCCACGCACUGGCGCACGAUGUAGGGCACCUUGGACCUCUCUCUCCUGCGGGAGGAGGGAAUGUUCUCAGUGUCCUAACAGCCCUGCUUGGGCCAUAACACAGGAGACCUGCUCCCUAUGUGCACACCCGGAGGUGGGGUGAGGACGGUGAUGAAGGUACCCAGGUCUGGGGCUGCACACAGAGCCUUCUGCAUGCCUGUCCUCCCUCUGCAAGCUCUGUCCUCAUUGCAUGUGCUUUCUCAGGAACCUUUCAAGCGGCCAGAACCCCUGCAAAUCACACAUGACCUUUGUGGGAAGGUCAGGAGGCCUGUCUAAGUCAAGUCAGCACGGGAAGGGCAUCUGACAGAUUCCAGGCCUGGGGUGAGCAGCCUGUGCCCCCGGCUGGGAGGUCAGACCCGGUGUUGGUCCUGCCACCCACGUGCUGUGUGAGAGGAGAAUCCGUGACCCCUGCCCUGGGCCUUAACACACAUCCGACGAAUGAAUGAAGGGUUGCCUCAGCACCGGUGCUCCAAGUCCUGCGAUGCUAAGUGCUUUUCUCCUCUGAGUCUUAGCAAUGGACAAUUCCAAUACCUCCACACAGGACACUAGAGUAAGAAUCCUUCACAGUUAGAACGCAGUGCUGUGCGGAGGCCUUAACUUGAGUUCUGUUUUGCACCUGGAUUUACCAGCACAUCAAAGCUGCUUCGCAAGCCCCCUCAUCAGCAGGGCUCAUGUGGGGGAGCUGCUGAUGGAGUCCUCGCUGCUCAUGCCCACAGCCCUCCCAGAGUGCUAUGCGAGUGGCUGCCGUGCAGUUGGGGGUGGGGCGUGGUGUUUAGACACAGAUAGGAGUCCAGGGUAUGACUGAUGGAGGCCCCGGCCCACGUGACCAGCAAGGUCAGAGGCCCAGCCAGAUUCCAUCCUGAGGAAGCAAAUGAAUUCUCAGAGGAAGUGGUCUGUGUCUGCAUGAACUGCUCUCAAACCAACAAAUAGGCUUCUCUUGGCAACUGACUCGUGACAAAGGGUUCAAGAUUGUUUGAAAAAAAAAAAGGGGGGGGGGGGACAGGGAGGCAGUAGGUCCUGGAAAAGUAAAUUCUUUAUUUUACAAUAAGAAAGUGAUUACAUAUUUUAUUUUUUUUUACAAUGGUGGAAAAUUAGAAGUGAUUGUGAAAAUGAUGUCUACCCGCCUUGCUGAUGAGUAGGAUGUGAUUUGGCUCUUUAGGAAACUGAAUUUGCAGAACUUAAGAAUAUUGAUUUAUAAAGGGCAUGGCCAUUGACCCAGUCCAUCUUAUGCAAAUCUGGAUGCCAUAAAUAAUAUUUAAAAAUGAAAGUAUUGGGGUGGAGGUUGCAGUGAGCGGAGAUCGCCCCACUACACUCCAGCCUGGUCAACAGAGUGAGACUCUGUCUCAAAACAAAAAAAAAAAAAAAAAAAGAAGAAGUCAUUCCCAACAUUGCUCAUCAAAUUAUGACCAUAAAUUUCCAGGAUCAGACUAACGGCUAAAGAGACUGAUGCAUCAACACCAGGCAGAGAAUAAAGCAGAUUUUUUUUGUUUUGUUUUGGAGAGCCUCUAGGAACUUGAAAAAUACAUAUGCCACACUCUUAAGACCCGGUGGUUCUUAAUCAGGGAUGUUCAUUAAAAUGCUGGAAAACUCUAAAGAUUUCCAGGUCCCAUCCAAGGAGAUUUUGCUUCUGAUUGACUGGCUAGUGGCCUGGCCAUUGGUAUUUUGAAAAAUCCCUCCAAGUGAUUCUUUUACAUCCCAGCUAGAAAACCCUAAAUUAAAGGUGAAAAACCAGACACCAAGUGGCAUUUAAAUAAAUGUCAACUUUAACUCCACAAAGCAUCUGGUUGCAUGUGGACAGAAAGAGAAGGAAAGAGGGCCCUAUAUCUGGAUAACUUGGAAAUGUGCUCCCCCUAGCAAGAUAUCUACCAAAAUUAAAACCAUAUUUGAGGAUGCUGGCACUGUGAGCAAUAUAUAAAUGAUGCAUGUAACAUCAUUUAAUAUGAUCUUAUUUUUAAAAAUGAGUAGAGUGGUGUUUUCUAGCUGUUAGUGUUUCCAAAUAUCAAUGUAGAAAUUAGCCUUCUGCAGCUGCAGAGGCAAUUCAGUUUGCAGCUUGCUUGCAUGUGGCCUAGAGCCACCCAGCCUGAUAUGUACUAAUUUUUUAUGUUUAACUUGCCAGAGUAGAAACUCAGUUUCUGGGCGAGGCAUAGUGGCUCAUGCCUGUAAUCCCAGAACUUUGGGAGGCCAAGGCAAGCAGAUCACAAGGUCGGGAGUUCAAGACCAGCCUGGCUGACAUAGUGAAACCCUAUCUUUGCUAAAAAUACAAAAAUUAGCCCGGCAUGGUGGCAGGCACCUGUAGUCCCAGCUACUUGGGAGGCUGAGGCAGGAGAAUCACUUGAACCUGGGAGGCAGAGGUUGUGGUGAACUGAGAUCAUGCCCCUGCACUCCAGCCUGGGCAACAGAGUGAGACUCCAUCUC